UGGCAAAACGCUUUGUCCGCACAGCUAUAUCUGCACAUGAAAUGUGAUGCUUUAUGUAAGAUAUCGCUCACAUGUCAAAAAGUCGGACAUUAGUUGGCGAGCGGAAAAGUAGCUGACUCACUGAAAAAAAUGCCUAAAGAUUAGAAAAUGUUGUAGAAGAAACAUUGAGAAAUACCGACGACGGCUUGAUAGCAGCAUGUUUCAUAUGAGCAGAUGCUGUCAGCGAGUAGGACUUGCAUCCCAGGAGAGGACUUAGAACUUCAAUCGAGGGAAAGGACCGGCUGACCGACUGGUGGAGAUAAUAAUAACAUGACACAGGCUGACACACUGAUG
rnacentral:lncRNA from 1 species